CGGGUUGUGGCUCCGUGGUAGAGCACUUGCUUGGCAUGUGUGAAGCACUGGGUUUGAUUCCCAGCACCACGU
rnacentral:tRNA from 1 species